UACGAAGGGGGGCUAGCGUUGCUCGGAUUGACUGGGCGUAAAGGGCGCGUAGGCGGUUCGUACAGUCAGACGUGAAAUUCCUGGGCUCAACCUGGGGGCUGCGUUUGAUACGUGCGGACUUGAGUGCGGAAGAGGGUCGUGGAAUUCCCAGUGUAGAGGUGAAAUUCGUAGAUAUUGGGAAGAACACCGGUGGCGAAGGCGGGUCUCUGGGCCGAUACUGACGCUGAGGAGCGAAAGCGUGGGGAGCAAACAGG
rnacentral:rRNA from 1 species